CAAAUUUGUAUAAAUAAAUCAAGGCAAACAGACGUUUUAGUGAUUCGUCGAUUGUUUCUCUUGUCGUAAACAUGAAAUCCAUUUACGUUUGUGUGGUGAUGUUGGCUUUCGUUUUGUCAUUGGCAAUGUCUGAUAAAGUGACAUCAAUUGGAGGCGGCCGAUGUGAAUGGGGUCCUAGUUACUGGUGUCUAAGUGAAGAAAAUGCACAAGAAUGCGGUCCCGGUGCAGUUGAAUACUGUGCGGGACAAUACGGUCGACUGAAGGAUCAGUAAAGCUGUAAUUGAGGUUUUGCACAUUUUGAUCGAAAAAUAUUUUCUACCUAUUUUUUAAUGGUAGUAGUCCAUAAAUACACGUGUAAUAAAUUCAUAAUGCGUACUAAGAUACUACACUA